CGUCCCAAAGCGAACGCAGCCCCGCACGUUCAGUCAACCCAGUUUGUUCGUUUUCUCUAGCCUCGCGAAUACUCGACCCGCCGCCAGGAGCCAGCUGAGCCGCCUGCCUCGCCGUCCCUGCCCGGUCGCCCGGAGUGACUGGCAGACCGCCCGAGACCCUGACCAGCCUGACGGCUGACGGCCGCGACCUGCCUCUGCCUACCCGGCUUGGCGCCCGACCGGUUGCUGUCCGCGCAGGCGCGCACGGCGCACCACCGCGCAAGAGCGCGCCCUGCUGACCGGACUGCCGGAGCAGCCCACUCCCAGUCCGCUCAGCGCUCGCCUUAGUCGCUGAUCCUCCGGUCCUUUACAUCCCCAUCCCCUGCUCAGCUCGGAAAGUGUGCAAUGGAUUUAGAAUCCACCAAAUUUCUAUUGCAAUUUCCUAGAGAAAGUACCCAGUACUCAGCUGGUGUAGAUGAAUUCCUAGAGUUUGCAUAUAAAUAUACGAGCAGAUACAAUGAAUGAUCCGAUGUCCAUGUGAAGUUUGUGUUCACAAUUUAGUACUAUCAAGGGAUGAUGUCUGUGACCAUUUGAUGUGGAAUGUAAUGCUUUUGAGCUAUGACACAGUAGCUCAAUAAAGGUUUGAUGGACAAAGAAAGUCACUGAUCUGAAAAUGUGGAGCUUAUAGUUAAAGUGACGAAUUCAUUACUGUUAUUUGAUUUUUUUUCUUUUAUGUCCAUGUACUUUAUAAUUCGGACAAGAAGAUUUAUAGGUGUGACUGGCCUAAAGUGUCAAUACUUGAUCCCAAAUA